GAUUGAUAAGAACUAAAAAAAGAAAACAGAAAGGAUGAAAACAGUGGUCAUCGAUAGCUAAAUGGACAUUUAAGAAUCGUGCUGUGACCGGCCUGUGAAUUGUGGCUCCGACCAAUCCCUGAACGUAAUGUAAUUGUGGAGGAUUAUGGAGGACUUCUAUGGACAGUUUUUGAAUUCAGACUGAAGAGAAGAACAAAAAUGAAAGAGAUCCUCCGAAGGCCUUCUACUGAACGAGCUUUCCUUUCCGAUCCAACCUUUUUAAAGCUACCGUCAAUAUUGAUGUACGCUUGAUCCAACGAAGCAUAAUAUACCUCAAAAUAGAUGACCUGAUAGGUAUCGAGGAUAUUACAACUUUGGUCUAACAUCUUUUAAAUUUAAUUGAAUACAGAGAGAAUUAAGAUAGAGUUACAAAUGUAGAUGAAAAAUGUGAUUUACAUAUACAAAAAAUUUAUGUUGUUAACAGUUGCAAAACUUGCGGUGAACAAUGAACGCAGAAUAAAAUAUAAAACUGAUAAGGCA